UCGCCUGUUUAUCAAAAACAUCACCCCCUUUAUGGGCAUUACCUGCUCAAUGACUGUAGUUAAAUAGCCAGUUUAUGCUAAGGUAGCAUAAUAAUUUGCUUUAUAAUUAAAAGAUAGAAUGAAUGGUAUUUCUAAAAGUAUUUAUUUUAAAAUAAAAUUGAAUUUUUUUAAAGUUGAAAAUUACUUUAUGAUUUUUUUAGACGAUAAGACCCUAUGAAGCUUUAUUAAAAAAACAAAUUAUGAAUUUAAACUUUAAUUUUUUUGGGGCAAAAAAAAAUUUUGUUAUUUUAAUUUAGUAAAAUUUUGAUCUUCGUGAAUUUUAAGAAAAAGCUACUCUAGGGAUAACAGCAUAAUUUUUAAAAAAGUUCUUAUUAAAAUAAAAGUUUGUGACCUCGAUGUUGA
rnacentral:rRNA from 1 species